UAUGGGCUACACACGUGCUACAAUGGCCGGUACAGAGGGUCGCCAAGUCGCGAGACGGAGCUAAUCCCAGAAAACCGGUCUCAGUUCGGAUUGGAGUCUGCAACUCGACUCCAUGCUCGCGGAAUCGCUAGUAAUCGCGGAUCAGCACGCCGCGGUGAAUACGUUCCCGGGCCUUGUACACACCGCCCGUCACACCAUGGGAGUCAGUUGCUCCAGCUCGACC
rnacentral:rRNA from 1 species